rnacentral:rRNA from 1 species
UACGUAGGUGGCGAGCGUUGUCCGGAUUUACUGGACGUAAAGAGCGCGCAGGCGGUCGUCCAAGUCGCGUGUGAAAGCCCCCGGCUCAACUGGGGAGGGUCACGCGAUACUGUUCGACUCGAAGGCAGGAGAGGGUAGUGGAAUUCCGAGUGUAGAGGUGAAAUUCGUAGAUAUUCGGAGGAACACCAGUGGCGAAGGCGGCUCACUGGUCCAUUACUGACGCUGAGGUGCGAAAGCGUGGGGAGCAAACAGG